GAUGGAACAAUGUAGGCAAGGAAAGUCGACAAAAUGGAUCCGUAACUUCGGGAAAAGAAUUGGCUUUGAGGGUUUGGCAUGGGUGUCCCAGUUCCGAACCCACUGGCUAUCGGUGGACUGCUUGAGCGGAUCCCACUGAAAUAGCGGGUCGCCGUGUGCCGGCUGGGGGACGGACUGGGAACGGUUCUUUCGGGGGCCUUCCCUGGUAGUCAAACAACCAACUCAGAACUGGUAUAGACAAGGGGAAUUUGAGUAUUUAAUUUUAACAAAGCAUUGCGAUGGUCCCAACAAAUGUUUACGCAAAGUUAUUUUUGUCCGGUGCUCUAAAUGUCAAAGUGAAGAAAUUCAACCAUGCGGGGGUAAACGGCCGGAGUAACUAUGACUCUCUUACUUAAGGUAGCCAAAUGCCUCGUCAUCUUAUUAAUGAUGCGUAUGAAUGUAUUAACAAGAUUCCCACUGUCUGUGUCUAAUAUACAGCGAAACCACAGCCAAGGGAACAGGCUUGGCAGAAUCAGCGGGGAAAGAAGACCCUAUUGAGCUUGAGUCUAGUCCGACUUUGUGAAAUGACUUCAGAGGUGUAGUAUAAUUGGGAGUUGAAAGGCGAAAGUGAAAUACCAAUACUUUUAACGUUAUUUUACUUAUUCCGUGAAUCAGAAGCGGGGAACUACCCUUAUUUUUGCACCCAAGGCUCGCUUCGCGGGCCGAUACUGGGAGAAGACAUUGUCAGGUGGGGAGUUUAGCUGGGGUGACACAUCUGUUAGAAGAUAACGCAGGUGUCCUAAGAUGAGCUCAACGAGAAUAGAAAAAUCAGUGGAUUAGAAGGAUAAAAGCUCGUUCGAUUCUGAUUUCCCGUACGAAUACGAAUCGUUAAAGCGUGGCCUAACGAUCCAUUAGACCUUAGGAAUUCUAAGAUAGAGGUGUCAGAAAAGUUACCACAAGGAUAACUAGCUUGUGGCAGCCAAGCUGUAUAGUGAAGUUUAUUUUUGAUCAUUCGAUGUCGGCACUUCCUAUCAUUCUGAAGCGAAAUUUACCAAGUGUUGGAUUGUUCACCCACCAAUAGGGAACGUGAGCUGGGUUUAGACCAUCGUGAGACAAGUUAGUUUUAGCCUACUGAUGACAGUGUCGCAAUAGUAAUUUAACCUAGUAAGUGAGGAACCGUUGAUUCACAUAAUUGGUCAUCGCGCUUGGUUGAAAAGCCAGUGGCGCGAAGCUGCCAUGUGUUGGAUUAUGAAUGAACGUCUCUAAGUUAGAAUCCAGGCAAGAAGCGACGCAUGCGCCCACCAUUCGCUUGCCGACCUGCAGUAGGGGCCAUUAUACCCCAAGGGAUCGUUUUGUUUGCUAAGUUACCGCGACAGAAGCGGCGCGGUGACUGCCUCGAAGUACAAUUUCCAUUGAGCGGUGGGUAGAGUCUUUUGCAGAAGACAUAAAUAUGUGACGGGGUAUUGUAAGUGGAAGAGUGGCCUUGCUGCCACGAUCCACUGAGAUACAACCCUUUGUCACUCCGAUUC
rnacentral:ncRNA from 1 species